UGAGGAAUAUUGGUCAAUGGGCGCGAGCCUGAACCAGCCAAGUAGCGUGAAGGAUGAAUGUCCUACGGAUUGUAAACUUCUUUUAUACAGGAAUAAAGUGGUCCACGUGUGGAUUUUUGCAUGUACCGUAUGAAUAAGCAUCGGCUAACUCCGUGCCAGCAGCCGCGGUAAUACGGAGGAUGCGAGCGUUAUCCGGAUUUAUUGGGUUUAAAGGGAGCGCAGACGGGGGAUUAAGUCAGUUGUGAAAGUUUGCGGCUCAACUGUAAAAUUGCAGUUGAUACUGGUUCCCUUGAGUGCAGUUGAGGCAGGCGGAAUUCGUGGUGUAGCGGUGAAAUGCAUAGAUAUCACGAAGAACCCCGAUUGCGAAGGCAGCCUGCUAAGCUGUAACUGACGUUGAGGCUCGAAAGUGUGGGUAUCAAACAGGAUUAGAUACCCUGGUAGUCCACACGGUAAACGAUGGAUACUCGCUGUUGGCGAUAUACUGUCAGCGGCCAAGCGAAAGCAUUAAGUAUCCCACCUGGGGAGUACGCCGGCAACGGUGAAACUCAAAGGAAUUGACGGGGGCCCGCACAAGCGGAGGAACAUGUGGUUUAAUUCGAUGAUACGCGAGGAACCUUACCCGGGCUUAAAUUGCAGACGAAUUACCUGGAAACAGGUAAGCCGCAAGGCGUCUGUGAAGGUGCUGCAUGGUUGUCGUCAGCUCGUGCCGUGAGGUGUCGGCUUAAGUGCCAUAACGAGCGCAACCCUCGUGGCCAGUUACUAGCAGGUAACGCUGAGGACUCUGGCCAGACUGCCAUCGUAAGAUGCGAGGAAGGUGGGGAUGACGUCAAAUCAGCACGGCCCUUACGUCCGGGGCUACACACGUGUUACAAUGGGAGGUACAGAAGGCAGCUACCCGGCGACGGGAUGCCAAUCUCCAAAGCCUCUCUCAGUUCGGACUGGAGUCUGCAACCCGACUCCACGAAGCUGGAUUCGCUAGUAAUCGCGCAUCAGCCACGGCGCGGUGAAUACGUUCCC
rnacentral:rRNA from 1 species